GACGAACGCUGGCGGCGUGCUUAACACAUGCAAGUCGAACGGAAAGGCCCCUUUGGGGGUACUCGAGUGGCGAACGGGUGAGUAACACGUGAGUAACCUGCCCUUGACUUCGGGAUAACUUCAGGAAACUGUGGCUAAUACCGGAUAGGAAUCCUUGCUGCAUGGUGGGGGUUGGAAAGCUUCGGCGGUUUUGGAUGGACUCGCGGCUUAUCAGCUUGUUGGUGGGGUAGUGGCUUACCAAGGCUUUGACGGGUAGCCGGCCUGAGAGGGCGACCGGCCACAUUGGGACUGAGAUACGGCCCAGACUCCUACGGGAGGCAGCAGUGGGGAAUAUUGCACAAUGGGCGGAAGCCUGAUGCAGCAACGCCGCGUGCGGGAUGACGGCCUUCGGGUUGUAAACCGCUUUCAGCAGGGGCGAAGCUUGUGGUGACGGUACCUGCAGAAGAAGCACCGGCUAACUACGUG
rnacentral:rRNA from 1 species